CAAAACACUAUGGGAAAACACUAACCAUUUUUCCUGGAUGAUAUUCUUAGUGUUUUCCUACCCUCAGGGGAAAGAUCAAGAAAAGAAGAGAGAAUACCACAUAUUCUGAGGACAGCCACAGCAUCUCCAGCUGAUUGGAUAUAUGGGCAGUGUUCCUGAUGGGAUAAAUCUGUUGCAUUCCUGACUGCCUCAUCAGGCUUCCUGUGGCACUGGAAGGAUUUGCAUCAAGCCAGAUAGCACAACAGCACUGCAGCACGGCAGGGGAAAGCUAACAUCCCCGUUUCACCAGAGGAAAAGCGAUCACCAGAGGAGAGCCAGGCAUAUUGUGAAGCUGAAACACAUGCUGAAGCAUCCAGACAGUGCCUCAAGCUGGCCACGCGUUCCCAGAAAUAAAGAAAAACACCAGAGCCUACCUGCAGAAUGACCUUUCUCCUAACUGACUUGCAGCUCCGAAGCUUUUGUGCUGGAAGAGAUAGGGAGAUGAAAUGCUCUCC